rnacentral:rRNA from 1 species
UACGUAGGGGGCAAGCGUUGUCCGGAAUUAUUGGGCGUAAAGAGCGCGUAGGCGGUCCGGUAAGUCGGUUGUGAAAGUCGGGGGCUCAACCCUCGGAUGCCGAUCGAUAACUGUCGGGCUAGAGUCCGGAAGAGGAGAAUGGAAUUCCUGGUGGUAGCGGUGAAAUGCGCAGAUAUCAGGAAGAACACCCGUGGCUAAGGCGGUUCUCUAGUACGGUACUGACGCUGAGACGCGAAAGCGUGGGGAGCGAACAGG